rnacentral:lncRNA from 1 species
AUGGCUCACUGUAAGACAUGGUUUUUGGAGAGGUAGCCAAGAGUUCUACAUCCAGAUUGGCAGGCAUCAGGAAGACACAGUGAGCCUCUGGGCCUGGCUUCUGCUUCUGAAACCUCAAAGCCCACCCCCAGUGACACAUUUUCUCCAACAAGGUCACACCUACUCUAACAACUCCAUACCUUAAUAAUUGUGCCUUUCCCUAUAAGCGUGCAGAGACCAUUUUCAUUCAGACCACCACACAGUACCAACUCAGCUCUUAAGAAUUGUCUGAAAAAGAUGGCUGUGGCAUGAGGGCAGAGCCUUUAGGACCUGCACAUUACACUUGUGGUGUGGGUGUGAGAGUGCAGUGAUCUUUUGACAAUCUUUUCAUCCCGUUACAUUUUUACUUUGCCAUUUUGUGCUGUUGCCUUUACUGUUCUCACAUGGCUCAAUCCUUACUCCUGAGUUUAUCUUUGUUUUACAGGACAAGGGCUCAGAGGACUGGACGCGUUCAGAUGUCGGUGUCCCCCCAGUUCUUGACCCUGGUCCUGUCUCCAGCCCGUCUCAGCUUACCCACUCUUGACUCCUUUGAGCCGUUCCGAGGGGCAGUUCUGGUCGUAGUGGCUUUUAUACUUUCACGGAAUUCUUCAGUCCAGAGAGUUCUCCUGCACCAGGCCCUGCACAGUUGCACUCAGUGCACUCAAGUGCUCACUGUUGUUUAGUCAGUAACUGCUUUCUGGUUUGAAAGAUGCAGUGGUUCCUCCCUGCCCUGAAUCCUUC